rnacentral:lncRNA from 1 species
GCACCCAUGGAUGGAAAAGUAGACUAUGGUGGUGCGAUCAAGGAACUCCGAUCUGAUGAUUGAUGGCAAAGAUGAUGUCGGAAAAGAUCAAUAAAAUCAUAAAAAAUAGAGAAAUUUUAGAUACUAAGUUUUUCAAGAAAAUUCAAUGAUUGCCGGCUGAAAUUAAUUGUCUAUGGACUAAGAAUGGUAGAGAGAUAUAUUGUUUCCAGCAAGAUUUGGCCCUAACUUCUGACGAAUAUAGUGAC